UUCGCAAUGCCCGAAAGGGUGACGAAGCGACGCCGCGUGGGUGAGGAAGGCCUUCGGGUUGUAAAGCCCCGUCAGGAGUUAAGAAAUAUAAGUGCGCUAAUAUCGCAUUUAUUUGACGAAGGCUCCAAAGGAAGUCACGGCUAACUCUGUGCCAGCAGCCGCGGUAAUACAGAGGUGGCAAGCGUUGUUCGGAAUUAUUGGGCGUAAAGAGCACGUAGGUGGGUUUGUAAGUCAGAUGUGAAAGCCUUCUGUUCAACGGAAGAAUUGCAUCUGAAACUGCGAGUCUUGAGUGUAGGAGGGGAGAAUGGAACUUCUGGUGGAGCGGUGAAAUGCGUAGAUAUCAGAAGGAACGCCGGCGGCGAAAGCGAUUCUCUGGCCUAUUACUGACACUCAGUGUGCGAAAGCUAGGGGAGCAAACGGGAUUAGAUACCCCGGUAGUCCUAGCCGUAAACGAUGGGCACUAAGUAGAGGGGUUUU
rnacentral:rRNA from 1 species